AUUGAACGCUGGCGGCAGGCCUAACACAUGCAAGUCGAACGAGUGGCGGACGGGUGAGUAAUGUCUGGGGAACUGCCCGAUGGAGGGGGAUAACUACUGGAAACGGUAGCUAAUACCGCAUACCAUCGGAUGUGUCCAGAUGGGAUUAGCUCGCAGGUGGGGUAACGGCUCACCUAGGCGACGCUCCCCAGCUCGUCUGAGAGGAUGACCAGCCACCCUGGAACUGAGAACCGGUCCAGACUCCGACGGGAGGCAGCAGUGGGGAAUAUUGCACAAUGGACGCAAGCCUGAUGCAGCCAUGCCGCGUGUAUGAAGAAGGCCUUCGGGUUGUAAAGUACUUUCAGCGAGGGGGCGUUACUAGCAGAAGAAGCACCGGCUAACUCCGUGCCAGCAGCCGCGGUAAUUC
rnacentral:rRNA from 1 species